CAACUUUUAACAACGGAUCUCUUGGUUCUCGCAUCGAUGAAGAACGUAGCAAAGUGCGAUAACUAGUGUGAAUUGCAUAUUCAGUGAAUCAUCGAGUCUUUGAACGCAUCUUGCACUCAUUGGUAUUCCAAUGAGUACGCCUGUUUCAGUAUCAA
rnacentral:rRNA from 1 species